CACCUCUCCUACAAAGAAAGGCUGAGGGAGCUGGACUUGUUCAGCCUGGAGAAGAGAAGGCUCCAGGGGCACCUCAUUGUGACCUUCCAGUACUGAAAAGGAGCCUAUAAAUAGGAGGGAGACUGACAUUUCACAUCCUCAGUGUCCAACUUUUUGGCUUGCCUGUGCUGCAUUUUCUGAAGAGGAAUUUUCUUGGGCUUCAUAUAAUAUAUAUACUCCAGUAAAUGCAUAUGAGUUGCAGAAAUAUGUCUAUAUAUUGUGUGCUAGGUCUUUAGUAGCUUGGAGGUGUGGAAUUGCCUUCAGUCUAGAAAGUGCCUGCUGGCUGAGAGAAUGAACUAGAAGAACUACUACACCACUAACAGUGACUGCACUGCAAUGAAUCUGACUUUAUUUCUGAGAGUAGGGAAAGCUUUUUAAAAAAUCCUGAAAUGGGGAGUGGCAUAAUGACAUUAAGUCUGGAGUACUGUGAUUGGGGUGGGGUCUUUGACUAUAGACAGUUUAAUAUCUGGAGAAUGACAUUAAUAAAUAAAGUGAGGUGGCAAUUAGAGAUGUUUUAAAUUCCUUUACCUACCUGUAUCUGAAACACCUGUGUUAAAUUUAAACUAUGUUGUCUGUGUGUAUCUUUGUGCUGUACAGGAACUUAAGUACUGUUUUAGGAACUGUGAUGAAUGUGUCAAGGCCCUGAGUGCACUAUCAGAUUUUAAUGACCCUUAUCAGCCUCAUCUGUGAAUUCCCCUCCACACCCUCUGCCCAGGGCCCAGAAACCAUGUUUAAGGUUAACCGUGGGCUUUCAUACCUCCCAGACUUCUGUUUUAGGUGCAUGUCUCUAGCCUUAUUUCUCACACAGAUCUUGGACUUACGCUGGAGAGCAAGAUGUUUUUAUAUGCUGCCUGGAUUCUUCUUUCUCAUUCCUUCUGCAUUGCAUGAGAUGCUGGAUGAACCUCUGGUCUGAAAAAGUGUGGCAACGUGGGCUUUUCUUUGGCAAGUUCAUUGGAGGAAAACAAACAAGUAUUUAAGGCUCCUGUUACUUGGGUAAACUUUGAAUGUUUUCAGCAUGUAGAAGUACCUUUGCAGUUUAAGAAGGUGAACCAGACUAUGGACAUCUUCUCUGGAGAAUGCAAUGUUUUUGCAGGCUGCUACAGUGAUAACCUCAUUGCAAGUGGUGCUGUUAGGUUCAACUCUGAUUUCUUUCGAAGCCGUGCUAUUCUCUGAGGCUUUGAUAUCAUGGAAGGUGCACCUAGGUCCCAACUGUGAGAACAGAGCUUCAUUUUUAAUAAAACAGAAUUAUUUCAGGGAAGGGUAGAUCUU
rnacentral:lncRNA from 1 species